AAGGAGGUCACACCUGUUCCCAUGCCGAACACAGAAGUUAAGCUCCUUAGCGUCGAUGGUAGUCGAACAUACGUUCCGCUAGAGUAUAACGUUGCCAGGC
rnacentral:rRNA from 1 species